GACGAACGCUGGCGGCGUGCUUAACACAUGCAAGUCGAGCGGAAAGGCCCUUCGGGGUACUCGAGCGGCGAACGGGUGAGUAACACGUGAGUAACCUGCCCCAGGCUUUGGGAUAACCCUCGGAAACGGGGGCUAAUACCGGAUAUGACUUGACCUCGCAUGGGGUUGGGUGGAAAGUUUUUCGGCUUGGGAUGGGCUCGCGGCCUAUCAGCUUGUUGGUGGGGUGAUGGCCUACCAAGGCGACGACGGGUAGCCGGCCUGAGAGGGCGACCGGCCACACUGGGACUGAGACACGGCCCAGACUCCUACGGGAGGCAGCAGUGGGGAAUAUUGCACAAUGGGCGGAAGCCUGAUGCAGCGACGCCGCGUGAGGGAUGACGGCCUUCGGGUUGUAAACCUCUUUCAGCAGGGACGAAGUGUGAGUGACGGUACCUGCAGAAGAAGCACCGGCCAACUACGUGCCAGCAGCCGCGGUAAAAC
rnacentral:rRNA from 1 species